rnacentral:rRNA from 1 species
AUGCAUGUCAGUAUGAUGUUAUUAAGCUAUGCAACUCUUUUGUGCGGAUCCUUAUUAUCUGCCGCUAUUCUAAUCAUUAAAUUUCGAAAUAAUUUCCAUUUCUUUUCUAAAAAGAAAAAAGUUUUAAAUAAAUCAUUUUUCUUUAGUGAUAUUAAAUAUUUCUAUGCAAAAAGAAGUGCUUUAAAAAGAACCUAUGUCCCUUCAUUUCCAAAUUAUUACAAAUAUCAAUUAACGGAGCAUUUGGAUUCUUGGAGUUAUCGUGUCAUUAGCCUAGGAUUUACCCUUUUAACCAUAGGUAUUCUUUGUGGAGCAGUAUGGGCUAAUGAGGCCUGGGGAUCCUAUUGGAAUUGGGAUCCAAAGGAAACCUGGGCAUUUAUUACUUGGACCAUAUUCGCAAUUUAUUUACAUAGUAGAACAAAUCCGAAUUGGAAGGGUACGAAUUCUGCACUUAUAGCUUCGACAGGAUUUCUUACAAUUUGGAUUUGUUAUUUUGGUAUAAAUCUAUUAGGAAUAGGCUUACAUACUUAUGGUUCGUUUACAUUAACACCUAAAUGA